AAAAUGGUCUCCAAGAGGCUGAACAGCAUCAGAGCAAAAAUCCCAAUGCAGUAAAUCACUUGGAGGAACAGAGAACACAUUAUGGAGGGAGGCAAAGUCCAGACUCAAGAAGAAGAGGACAGGCAGCAGGAAGUUGACGACAUAAAGUGCUGACUUCCUCUUCAUGGUUAUCUGUAAUAAGGUUUUGUCAGCACCAGAAGCCUUUAUUUGACUAUUGUCAGACAGGAAAGCGAGCUAUGAGAGAAGAGGAAGACAAGUGGCAAAGGGUCAAUGAUCCAGAACUCGAACUGGGUUACACGCUCUACCACUGUGCCACCCCCACACCCAAUCAAAAUUUAUUUGAAACAGUAAAAGUGAAUAUAAAAUACUAAAAGUAAACAUUUUUACAUUGAUAAUCUGAUGCCAAUGUAGACUGUAGCUUUAAGUAGGGAAAGCGUUACUGUUUCACGUCUGUCAAAAGGCAGUAUCUCU